UACGUAGGGUGCGAGCGUUGUCCGGAAUUACUGGGCGUAAAGAGCUCGUAGGUGGUUUGUCGCGUUGUUCGUGAAAACCGGGGGCUUAACCCUCGGCGUGCGGGCGAUACGGGCAGACCUGAGUACUGCAGGGGAGACUGGAAUUCCUGGUGUAGCGGUGGAAUGCGCAGAUAUCAGGAGGAACACCGGUGGCGAAGGCGGGUCUCUGGGCAGUAACUGACGCUGAGGAGCGAAAGCGUGGGGAGCGAACAGG
rnacentral:rRNA from 1 species